AUUCUUCGGGAGGCACUUGUGAAACUCAGCCCAGGUGCUGCCCAGGAUCAGGAGGCUGAGACGUGAUCUGGAAGUGAGUGCCCAUCCAUACACCUUCCCCAGCUUUGGGGCCACAGAGGGACAGAAACCGCAGGCAGGCUGGCCUGGGAAUGAACCUACACCAGCCUGAAGUCAGAAGAGCCUCUAGGAGCCUCCAGCCUGGACUCUUUUUACAGAUGGGGAAACUGAGUCCCAGAGAGGGAGCAAUGAAGGAUGUCUAAGGUCAUCAGCAACGUAAAGCCAACAGCAUCAUCCUGAGUCAUGUUUGAACCUGAGGGAAAGAAACAUAUGUUCGAAGAGGUUCUGAGGCUGCUGCACCCGAUAUCAUACCUGGUUGGCCCUGGGAAAGGGCCCACCUCCAAUACAUAAACACAACCAGCUUUGACAGGGACUCUGAUUACACUGGACCUAUCCAAGAUCUGAGAUCAUCAACUCAUCUCAAAAUCCUUAAGCUGACCACAGCAGCAUCGUCCCUUUUGCAGUGUAAGUUCCCCUCCAGGUUUGCACAGCAUCUGCUGAAGUCUCCACUAGAAACUCAAUGGAAGGUCCCCACCGGAAACUGAAAGUCUCCUAGAGUGGCUUUGAGUUGCGGUUUCACCCUCCCUGCAGAUCCACAGGGGAGGCUGGGGCAGAUGGAAAAUACCAACUUGAUGGUCUGUGGCCACACCAUGCUGCUCCCCAAGGCCCCUCAGAAUUUCACUGCCCAAUAUGGUAGCGCCCAGCCUGAAACGUGGCCAGUGUGAAUUGAGAUGGGCUGGAAAUGCACCAGACUUCCAAGAGCUGGACAAAAACCAUAUACUUUCCAUCCAGCUGUUUGGCAUUGGAUACUGCUGCCUCUGCUUGACUUGAGAAUGUGUGAGAAAAGCUGUGUUUAGACAACUGAAAACCAUGAGCUUGAAAGUAGUGGGGGCACACUCUUGGAGACUCCAGUUGCUCACCAGCUUGGACAAACCACUGGACUCAAAUGAUCAGGUAGAAAUUCAUCACUGGAGAGAACACAGUGGAAUGGCUUCAGCGAAAACUCACUCUGAAGGUCUUCAGGGCAACUUUAAGACUUGCCCCUGGCCGGGCACAGUGGCUUAUGCCUAUAAUCCCAGCACUUUGGGAGGCCGAGGCGGGUGGAUCACCUGAGGUCAGGAGUUCAAGACCAGCCUGGCCAAUAUGGCGAAACCCUGUCUCUACUAAAAAUCCAAAAAAUUAGCCGGGCGUGGUCGUGGGCGCCUGUAAUCCCAGCAACUCGAGAGGCUGAGGCAGGAGAAUUGCCUGAACCCGGGAGGCAGAGUUUGAAGACAGCCGAGAUUGCACCACUGGGCAACAAGAGCAAAACUCCAUCUCAAAAAAAAAAAAAAAAAAAAAAAUACUUGCCCCGGCUUUUUGUGUGAUGGACUUUCUAUUUACAGACGUGAUAUUUAUCUAUGACUUUACUCAGAGUCUGGCUCAUAGACCAGAAGGACUGGUAUCUCCUGGAGCUUGCAGGAAAUGCAAAAUCUCAAACCCCUGUAUUAGUCAGGGUUCUCCAGAGAAGUAGAGCCAAUGGGAUAGAGACAGGGAUAGGGAUGAUAGAGAUGGAGAUAGAGGUAGAGAUCCAUUGAUUCCUCUGUUAAUAAAUUGGCUCAUGCAGUUGUGACAAUUUCGAAAUCUGCAAGAGAAGGAACACAGGCUCAGACAUCAGUGCCAUAUCUGAAGACAUUCAGCUAAUAACAGGAUGGAGUCCAAUCUGAAACAACUGUCACGCUGAGCCUAAUUGCUGAAGAUGGUUGAAGGCACCAGGAGGCUGGAGUUUCCUGGAGGUGGUUUGUG
rnacentral:lncRNA from 1 species